rnacentral:tRNA from 1 species
AGGGAUGUAGCUAAGUGGUAGAGUAUGUGUUUUGCAUGUAUGAGGGCAUGGGUUCAAUCCCCAGUAUCUCCA